AAUAAACAUGAUUUCUUAUAUAAUCAGAAAUGUGUUUAUGCAUAUGUGUGCAGAGAGAGAAAUAUUUAUGUUGAAAAACAGUUAAUUACUUAGGGAAAAAAGUCAUAAGUGAACCAGAAGCAACAGUUUGUAUCACUGUACAACUUGGGAGAGCUUCGUAUAGAUUAGCAUGGUGCCCUAUUCUGAGCAGGAAGCUUUUAGAGCCUGGUGAUAACAGGGAAAGAGAUCAGGCCUGUGGCUUGGGAAUGAGAUAAGAGGUUAUUAAUCUUUUUGGAUAGGGCUGAAUUCCAACUCAUCAUGCUUCAGCAGCCCAUAGUAACCUGUUCUUUUCAUUCUCCCUCUCCUUUCCAGUUGCUGCUAGGUGUGAAGUUAGGUGCUGGACAGCUUGGAGGAGAAAGGAGAAAACCAGAUACAAUCAGACAGCUGUGUGAGGCAGGGCCAGCUUCAUGGGAGUGCAGCCCACACAGAGCCACAGAGCCUGGCACUCAGAAGGAUGAAACUCGCUUUAGAGCUCAGCCAUCACUGACUUAAAAUUCUUAAUAAUUUUAUCUCUGAAUUUGUGUUUUUGAGUGAAGGCCAAUGGAACAACAGAGGCAGCACGUAAGCAGAAGAGAUGCACUUGAUAUGUGUGUCUGCAGUUCUGUCUGCAGUUCACAUGGAGCAUUAGAGAUGUCAUAUGGAGCAUUAGAGAUGUCAUAUGGAGCAUUAGAGAUGUCCCAAGAGCACAGAAUUCUGGUGGACCCAUGAUUUGAGGGAGUUUGGGCCCACGUGAGACAAUGUGAUUGGAAGAAUUAUCUCAACCAAAAGCACCACGGACAACUAGACAAGAGUGCAACUCCUUCGUGAAGACUCAACUACUACCCAGAAGGUUCUGGCAUGAACCCUCCUUAUAAAGCACUGAGCAUACUUCCCAAAAUUCCCCCUCUUGGGAAUAAAGGCAGCUUCUACAUGUUAUUCUACCAGCCAAGUUAUAAUCUUGGAAGAGUUUUCUGUCCAGUGACUUCCUGUUGGCAUUCAAGAGCUAGCAUUUGAGAGUCUCCCUACACCUGUAACAAACACAUAGAAUGGAAUAACUCACCGAUUGGACACAAUUAGCUGCCAGGUGUCAUGAAAUGAUACAGUCGAUUGUACAGUUGAGCUUCCUCUCUUGGGCAUUCCCACAACUUUAUAAGAACUGACUUGUGAAGAUUAUCUCAAAAACUACAAUUGUACACAUUGAAAUAAAACAUUUAAGUAAUCAUCCCAGCAUGGCUAUGGUGAAAGCAUGAUGAACAAAGGUCUGGUUAAGUCAGAGAGUCAACCUGGGUAAAACCACAGAACAAGGAACAUCCUCGCAGGACUCCAGGGCGGGGAGAAGCAGCCUCCCUGAAAAUAUCUGUAGGCAAUACUACUAUUAACAACUCCUCGUGAAUAAUCGUGUUUGAUCCUCACAACCUGCAGAGAUCAAUGCUAUUCCCCCCCUUCAGUGGUGAAACUGAAGCUCAGAGAAGUAAAGGGGCUCCCCUUGCAACACUGCAUCUGAGUAUGAACGGAGACAAGCAGCUUUGGCCAACUUUGGACUGCAGUUGUCCAUCUGCCCUCGAGAUUUCAAAAUUGCUAUCGGCCUUUCUGUCAACAGGAUGUCCAAGCAAUGUUAAACACCUAUUCAUGUGAGUGACCACGACAAAAAGGGGCGGGGUAGGGGUACAGGAAACCUACAAGGUUACCACAAGGGGAUACUGCUGCUCACAAACAGCGCAUGUGAGUUUCUUUCAAAACAGGCUGUUGAUAGAUUUUUGUAUAUUCAGAAGAAACGUGUGGGUUAGUCAGGGCUAACCUAGUUUCCUAGAGACUUUGAAGCAGCCUGCAGUUCCCCCACGACAUUCAGCUGAGCAUUCUUGUAAAUAAUUAACCCACCUGAUAUUGGACAAAUAUAAUGGAAAAGUCCUUGAUUAAGUUAAUAGGGUACCUAAAACUAUAAGCAAAGGAAGCAUUUACCGUCACACAGCUCUUCGUUUUACUAAUCAGCCUCCCAUUUAUUUUAUUUUGACAUUAACCACACAAAUGUAAUUGUAUUCUGCAUCCUAUUCUGGCUUCAGAAAAGUUUUCUGAAGCAAGAGAAACUAUAUUAUGAAAUUAAGAAAAAAAGAAACUAUGAUAUUCUUCUAAGAUUACUCCUUACAUUACAAGUUGGGGUACAUUCUCAAUUUCACUUUAUCCUCCUUGCUUUAAAAAAAAUCUAUUUAUUUGCAAAGAAUUCCUGCUCAAAUUUAAUAACCUUCCAGUAAAACGCCCCAUCUGUGAGGCAACUCUUUCAUAUUGCCCUGGGUAAAGUUUUCUGAAGUGAUCCCGUCUGUCACUAGGAAACCUAUAAAUUUCUUAGUAAGCAACGAGGACAAAGGUUAAGAGUCCUGUUCCAGGACUUGCUUGGGAAGGCUCCCAACACUGGCUUUCCAUUGUUCUUUCCUUCCUUAAUCCCUUCUAUUUCCAGUGCCUUAACCUUUAGGACUACCCUUACUUUAUAAAUUGGUUGUCACUAUAAAAGAGGUAAAAGGAAUAUGAUAGGAAAAUACCAAGAAGGAAUCGAGACAGCAAAGUCCAACUGGCAGGACUUAGUUGUAUGACCUUGGAUAAAUCACUUCCUCUCUGCUUCUAUGUCCUGAUUAAUAAAACCAGAAUAUUGAAUUACUGAUGUCCAUCCUCUAAGCCAAGUGACUAAUUAUUAAGUAUGCCUUUCUUAAUAUGUAAAUUACCUAGUAGAAUAGACACUCUCAGUAAACUCUAAUUAAUUUUACUCUUUGUUAUUACUUAGCAAUUCUUUGAAAGUGAAGACAACUCUCCUUUGUUAUUACUAAAAAAUCAUGUAAUUGGCUUUUUGGUUUCUCCUUUUUUAGGCAUUUUAAAAAUAUUCCUAUACUAUUCGCUAUAAUAGUUUUGAAACAGGUAAUAGUUUUGAAACAUUUCCUGAUGUAUUGCCCUUUUUUUGGUAAGUUUCUCUUAAAGGACCCCUUCUGUCAUUAAAGCUAAGCCAAGAAGCUUAUUGCUCUAGGGAAUGAGAAGAUAAGUUCCGCCCAGAAUAAAUGCACCUACAGACAAGGAAUCAUGGGACUGUAUUGUAGUGGACCUUUGCACCACACAGACAGAGAAAGUAGAAGCCUACCCAAAGAGGAAAGGUGGCACAGAAGUGAUCUGACAUGCUCGCGUGUUCUCAACAGAGACAGGGAAGACAGCUAUGAGAUAAGACCCAGGGCUGUGGCAAAGGGGAAAGUGAUUCUAUGGCAAAUACGCUAAGCCCAGUGGAAGUCAUGGCUGAUCCUUAAGAACUGCAAGAAAGGUGGGGAAUUCUCCCAGGCUCUGGCCACAUGGAGUUCAAACUCUGGGUUCCACCUGCAUCAGACACUUCAGUGACGCGGACAGAAGCCAAUACCUACGGAGCAGCAAGAUGAGUUUCACUUUAUGUGGAGGUGCAGGAGACCAGCAGAUGCCCAGGGACCCACGCUAAGGAAAGCUCUGCAUAGGCCAAUGAGAACUCGGGAACAAUCAGAGACCGGCAUGCCAAUCACCUCCUUCUCCAUUACCAGGAGGACACACGAGUCCCCCCCUAAACCAAACACACUGCUCAAGAAGGAGCGAUAAACACAAGACAGGGAAGAAACUGCCCUCUUAAGAUUAACAUUGGAUUUUGCCAAAUAGAAUCCAAAGAAGACUGAUCUUAGCUGGAAAAGAUUAAAUUUGUCAAGACUGCUAGACACUUUUUUAAAUUGAGGUAUAAUUGACAGACAAUAAAAACACACCCAUUUUAAGUCUCUAUUUCAAUGAGUUUUGAUAAAUGUAAAUACUCACAAAACCACCACUACAAUCAACAUAUAGAACCUUUCCUGGGGGGUGUUGGGGAGGGGUAAAAACUUACCUGUUGUGUACAAUGAACUCUAUUCAGGCGAUAUGUAUACUAAAAGCCCCAACUUAAGCAUUACAAAAGGAAUACAUGUAGCCAAAACAUUUGCAUCCCCUGAAUAUUUAAUAUUUUGAAAUUUUUAAAAAAGAAAAAAAAUAUAAAACAUUUUCAUCACCCCCAAACAUUCCCUCAUGCUCCUUUGUAGUCAAUCCUCACCAAUCCCAACAUAACACUACCACUGAUUUGCUUUCUGUCAACAUAGGUUAGUUUUGUCUGUCAAGAAUUUCAUAAAAAUGGAAUCACACAAUAUGGACUAUAUUGCUUCUGGCUUCUUUUGCUCAUGAUAAUGUUUUGGGAUCAUCCAGUUUGUUGUAUGUUGUAUGUAGCAGUAGUUGAUUCAUUUUUAUUGCUGAAUAGUAGUCUCUGUUAUGGAUAGACUAAAAUUUGUUUAUUCACUCAUCUGUUGAUGGGAUAUUAGAGUUGUUUCCAUUUGUAGACAGUUAUGAAUAAACUUCUGCGGUCAUACGUUUACAAGUCUUUUUGUGGACAUAAGUUUUUAUUCUCUUGAGUAAACCCCUAAGGAUGAAAGUGCUGAGUCAUAUGGUUAAGUAUAUUUUAACUUUAGAAGAAACUGUCAGAUUGUUUUUUUAAGGUGGCUGUGCAAUAUAACCAGUAACAUAUUAGAGUUCCAAUUGCUCCACGAUCUCAACAAUCCCUGGUAUUAAUAGUGUGAUUAAUUUCAGCCAUCCUUGUGAGUUUGUAAUGGUAUCUCAUUGUAGUUUUAAUAUAUAAUUCCCUGAUGACUAAUGACAUUAGCCAUUUUUUUCUCAUGUAAUUAUUAACUAUUAUUAUAUCUUCUUUUGUGAAGUGUCUGUUCAAAUAUUAUGCCCAUAUUUUAGUGGCUUAUCAUUUUAUUAUUGAGAUAUAGAAUUCUUUAUAUAGUCUAGGUACAAGUUCUUUGUAGAUACACAUAUUACAAAUACUUUCUCCCAUUCUGUGGCUUACCUAUUCA